UGCACCGUCUGGCCCCGCCGGCUGAUUACCGCCAGAGAUCGAGGGGGACCUCGCUGUCCCCCUAGAGGCCGUCAUGCGGGGUUACAGAGGCUGCGACCAAAGUCAUUCCUAGCUCCUCUCUCGGGGCUCCGGAAAGCCGUCCGCGCCUCCAGCCGCACUUUCAGCGCACGCAGGACCUGCCGCGCCCGGUGGCCACACCCGUCCCUCUGCCGGGUGACGCUGCGGGAGAUCUUGCGCCCUGGGGCUCCGGAUCCAGUUCUGGCACGUUGUUGCACCUGUGACUUGUCCUUGGCCUGGCACUGUCCCUCGCCUGGGGGAAGCGGGGGGGUGGGGGGGGGAUGCUCACGUGGUCGCUUUGCUCCCGCAGUCAUGCACUUGGGUGAAAACAGACUGAAGAGUCACGGGAACCAGCUUGUCUCCCCAGUUAUGGCGCAGAGCUGCAAGGAUGGCUGUGGGUCAUUAAUUUCUCCGUGGCUGACCUGUGUUUGUAACGCCGCAGCUGUUGCGAGGGGGAAGGACACUGCUUCGGAUUCAAAUUCUGACUCCUUGCUGCAGUGUGUCACCUUGAGCCAGUCCCAGAUCUCUGCGUUCUCACAAUUGUAAAAUGUUAACAGUGGCUGCCUACCUUGUGGCUGGAAUUAAAUGAAUUAACGUGUGUGAAUGUGACUAGAAUUCAGUACAUGUUCAGGAAAAGCUGAUUUCCGCUUUGCUGUUACCGUGAAUAUUACUGUUUUAGGAUGUAGAAAAGGGUGGAAGGGGAUGUUAUUGCAUCCUGGAAGCUUAUCCUUUUGAGGUAAAGAUUGAUUUCUGGUCCCCUGCGUGGUAUAUAGUGUAGUUUUGACAUUAUUUAGAUGUGUUAUGCACAUUUGGGUGUUGAUUAUAUGGCUUACGAUCAAGACUAACCAGUCAUGCCGUGGGAGAUUAAGGUCGUGGUCUCUUGUCAGGAUUGUAGUGAGAUUUAAAAAUUCCAGCCAGAAAUACCAGGCUUAGAAUGCUCCGAAGCCCUCCCCACAUUUUUGCCAUCUCUAGCAGGAGGGCACUGCAUAGCAGAAACAAAGACGUUGUAAAUUGUUGCUGCCUGAGUCAUUUAUAGAGGCUUAAACAACCUGAAUGUCCUCUGACCUACCUGUAACAUUUGAUGGAGGUGUGUGAGUAACUUACAAAGCUGUAGGUCCCAAGGUCGGUCUGAAAAAGAAAGUUCAUAUCCGGGAGCACUGACCCUGUAGUGUAAUCCUGGCACCUUAAAACGUACUGCUCCCUCCACCUUCACUUCAAGGUUAUGAAAACAUUGAGUAAAAGGGAUGAUCUGUUCAAAGUCCUUAGUGUUCUGCCAAUUUAAAACAGUAAUUUUCAAAGCAGUUAUUUGCAAGGAAAUUGCCUAGAACUUCUCCCAGUGUGCGGUUGUUUUGUGUGUUUGUGUGUGUGUUUUGUUUGUUUGUUUUCAGUCUGUCCACAGGCGUACUUUUAUAGGUCUGUGAUAGUACGUAGCUCUUCCAGUUGGCAAACACCUGCUGGACAACCCCUGAGAGAUUCAUCUGAGUGAGAGAGCACUCUCCAGCCCCAUCGGAGUGGGUUUGCAGGGAAAUCAUAAGGAAGAAAUCCUUAUCUUUCCAACGCUGAGAUGCCUCUGCCGAAGAGUAGAAUGGGAGUGAGGGGACACGCAAAACGGGCUGCUGCCGGAGGAAGAGGAACAGGGUUGCGGCUCAUGCCAUGUGAAUGGGCUCACUGGCCUGGCCCAGACCCUGACUGCCCACAGGAUCUUUGACAGAGAAACGGAGGCACAGAGAAGGAAGCGGCAGGUAAAGCUGUGAAGAACCUAACAAAUUUCAAGAUUGUAAGUGCCUUUUCCCAGGAUGCCAGCAAGUACUGAGCCUGUAUUUUGAGCUGCGUCAAACCCUGUUGGAAUAAAAAAGGACAUUUCUAGGAGAUCAGUCUUCAAGAUUGGCCCCAGUUUCCCCAGAGUAGGAAGAGGCAGGAAGCCAGAGCACAUGUUCUCUCCAGAAAUAAAGUUGUUGCAGUGGC
rnacentral:lncRNA from 1 species